GAGUUUGAUCCUGGCUCAGGACGAACGCUGGCGGCGUGCUUAACACAUGCAAGUCGAACGGAAAGGCCCUGCUUUUGUGGGGUGCUCGAGUGGCGAACGGGUGAGUAACACGUGAGUAACCUGCCCUUGACUUUGGGAUAACUUCAGGAAACUGGGGCUAAUACCGGAUAGGAGCUCCUGCUGCAUGGUGGGGGUUGGAAAGUUUCGGCGGUUGGGGAUGGACUCGCGGCUUAUCAGCUUGUUGGUGGGGUAGUGGCUUACCAAGGCUUUGACGGGUAGCCGGCCUGAGAGGGUGACCGGCCACAGUGGGACUGAGAUACGGCCCAGACUCCUACGGGAGGCAGCAGUGGGGAAUAUUGCACAAUGGGCGGAAGCCUGAUGCAGCAACGCCGCGUGCGGGAUGACGGCCUUCGGGUUGUAAACCGCUUUCGCCUGUGACGAAGCGUGAGUGACGGUAAUGGGUAAAGAAGCACCGGCUAACUACGUGCCAGCAGCCGCGGUGAUACGUAGGGUGCGAGCGUUGUCCGGAUUUAUUGGGCGUAAAGGGCUCGUAGGUGGUUGAUCGCGUCGGAAGUGUAAUCUUGGGGGCUUAACCCUGAGCGUGCUUUCGAUACGGGUUGACUUGAGGAAGGUAGGGGAGAAUGGAAUUCCUGGUGGAGCGGUGGAAUGCGCAGAUAUCAGAGGAACACCAGUGGCGAAGCGGUUCUCUGGGCCUUUCCUGACGCUGAGGAGCGAAAGCGUGGGGAGCGAACAGGCUUAGAUACCCUGGUAGUCCACGCUGUAAACGGUGGGUACUAGGUGUGGGGUCCAUUCCACGGGUUCCGUGCCGUAGCUAACGCUUUAAGUACCCCGCCUGGGGAGUACGGCCGCAAGGCUAAAACUCAAAGGAAUUGACGGGGCCCCGCACAAGCGGCGGAGCAUGCGGAUUAAUUCGAUGCAACGCGUAGAACCUUACCUGGGUUUGACAUGGAUCGGGAGCGCUCAGAGAUGGGUGUGCCUCUUUUGGGGUCGGUUCACAGGUGGUGCAUGGCUGUCGUCAGCUCGUGUCGUGAGAUGUUGGGUUAAGUCCCGCAACGAGCGCAACCCUUGUUCACUGUUGCCAGCACGUUAUGGUGGGGACUCAGUGGAGACCGCCGGGGUCAACUCGGAGGAAGGUGGGGAUGACGUCAAGUCAUCAUGCCCCUUAUGUCCAGGGCUUCACGCAUGCUACAAUGGCUGGUACAGAGAGUGGCGAGCCUGUGAGGGUGAGCGAAUCUCGGAAAGCCGGUCUCAGUUCGGAUUGGGGUCUGCAACUCGACCUCAUGAAGUCGGAGUCGCUAGUAAUCGCAGAUCAGCAACGCUGCGGUGAAUACGUUCCCGGGGCUUGUACACACCGCCCGUCAAGUCAUGAAAGUUGGUAACACCCGAAGCCGGUGGCCUAACCGUUGUGGGGGAGCCGUCGAAGGUGGGACUGGUGAUUAGGACUAAGUCGUAACAAGGUAGCCGUACCGGAAGGUGCGGCUGGAUCACCUCCUU
rnacentral:rRNA from 1 species